CACCCAAAAAAUGAUUUUUUGUUACUCGCGCAUUACCCCCUCUUCUUCUCAUUUCUGUCGUGUGCCCUAAAUCACCAAAUAAUAGUUUGUUUUUCUUAGUUGAAAUCCCCCAAAUUUCCCAUUUCCAACAAUACCAAUCAAUACACCUACACCAAUCACACUUCUUUUUCCUUUUCAUUUCACUGGACUGAAACCCUAGAUGAGAAGAAAUCCUAGAUGAGAAGAAAUCGGAGGAAGAGGAGUUGAAAGAUAAAGAAAUCGGAGGAGGGGGAGUAAGGAGGUUUUUGCGCUUUGUUUUCCCCCCUUUCUUUUACAUUGCCUUACUAAGAUGCCAUUGGCUGUUCGCUGAAAUAAAGAGAUAAAAAAAAAGGUUGAAGAAGGUGAAGAAUCUUUGUUUCAGUUUCUUUUUCUGUCUUUGCUUAACUAGAGUCAGUGUAUAAAGCAUCAGGGGGAAAAAGAUAAAUAUCAUAAGUCAUUCUAUGGGGGGUCUUCUAGUAAAAUGUUUCAUGGGCCUUCACAGUGAUGUUUUUGAGAAAUAUGUGAAGAACUAGAUUGCGAUUGCUGCACCUUUUCGGGGUGCACCUGGAUAUAUUGCUUCUACCUUCCUAAAUGGAGUGUCAUUUGUUGAAGGGUGGGAACAGAACUUUUUCAUUUCAAAGUGGAGCAUGCAUCAAUUAGAUUCACACUCAAGGAGCAAGAAACAUCUUAGCAACUCAUUGGGAUCGAGCAGUCAAAAGUCAGAAUCAAGUGACACACAAGAGCUAGAUUUGGAGCUUAAACUGUCACUGUAAUCAGUAAUUUUUUUGCUACUUUAAAUGCAUGCUCAUGGAACUACAUUUUAUGCUUUCCUAGAAUUGUAAGUUCAAAUAAGUUGAUAUGAACUAGUUUCAAUUUUUUUUAAAAAAAUUUCAAAGGAAUGUUAUGUAAUCAAAGGUAAUUUGACUUGCUGCAUGAGAUAUAGUGAAAAACAUUUAUCUUCUUGUUCA